rnacentral:sRNA from 17 species
UUCAACUACCCCGCCCUGCCUAACGGCUGAGGACGGGGAUUGCUAAAAACAAAUUUAGCAGCGCAAGUGUUGAAUAGCCCACUAAGACUAAUCCUGAUACGCACUUCCGAAUGCUUCCCCAGUUCGGAUUAUCUGCA